AAACAAAUCUUAACUAAAAUCGAAGAGGAAACACAAAUCUGCGAUUUCGCACAGGCGAAACUGGGAGUUUCAAUUCUCUCGAAAACCCCUUUUUAUUGUCUGAUGGCAAAAUCGCUUCCAUCGCCAACUCGCUUUCAGCAAUUCGCUAAGCUCGUCUUCUCCUCCAAGAACCCCCAAUCACCCCCCAAGAAGUCUCGGAUCCGAGCUUCUCCUUCCGAAACUCCGAUUUCCGGUUCCGUCCGAGUCAUCUUGGAGCCAAAUAAGAACAAGUACAUGGAGGAGAAGGAGAAGAAUCGGACUCCUUUGUCCGAUGUGGUUUCGGAUUGUGUCAAGCGGUGGUUUCAGGACACGCUCAAGGAGGCCAAAGCCGGCGAUACGUCGAUGCAGGUCUUGGUUGGCCAGAUGUUUUGCUCCGGCUACGGAGUUCCUAAGAACACAAAGAAGGGACUUGCUUGGAUCUAUCGAGCUUCAAAAUAUCAGCCAUCAGUUUGGAAAGCAAGCGAAAGACAUCCAGGUUAUCUUGCAACCGAUUCAGAAUCAAGCAAUAGGAGAGUGAAACGAAAUGACUUCAGAUGACCCCUUCACUAAUCAUACUAAUAAUCCUUGCACCGCCAAAGUUCACAGUCAAAUGGUUACAAAUUUACAAAUUACAAGCAAUGUUGAAGAUGGUUGAUUAAUAAAUACUUAAAAGACAGGAGACGUUUUUGGGUUGAUUUUAGGGUUCCCUCUUCCUUUUUGUCGUUGGUAGACAUGAAAUGGAUGAACGUUCUUCAUGUAUAAAUUAUUAAGUGUUGUGUAUUGAAGCAGCAAUAGCAACUAGCAGCCAUUAUUAUUUCC